rnacentral:lncRNA from 1 species
AAAAAAAAAAGGUGAAAAUUUAUUGUAGUUUUUCUUUCUUCAAUUUCUUUUUCCCCUACCUCCGAUGAAUCCUCAAUGUAACCAAAAAGAAAACAAAAGAGACUUAAACUUGAAUUUGAGCUUAAAAUAGGCAUAAAAGGAAAGGGGAACGAAAACAGUUUUUCUUGAAGAGUCAUGGGAGAAGAACAAAAGACAUAGAGAUAUCUGAAAGUUGAGAUCACAAAUCAAUUAUAGUAAUAUUACUUACUAUUCUGGGAGUAAAACCUUUAGAUGAAAUGAAACUAGUACUCUCCUAAGUUUGGUUUCUGUAACAAAUCGUACCAAGAAACUGGUCUUGUCUGGUUGGAAACAUAAUAACUUGAAUAAACUGUUUGAAAUCUAGAGUCUCCCUUCAUUCAUCAUCAUGUUCCCAAUUUGAAGUGUUUGCCAGUGGUUACUGGUUACUCUCUCAUUUAGCACCAAAAAUACAGAAACCAUUAAAUAGGUAGAAAUUACUGAGAUAAUACUGUAGUUUAUAUCUGUAGUACUGUGCAUCAGCAGAAGAAGAAGCAGGAAACACGGUGUUUCCACUGCACUGCAUUACAAUCACAGGACUUCAUGAAAUGCACUCAAGGAUCUCUCUCUCUCUGUUAGUUCUUAUUACGUACUCAAGAUCAAGGGAAUUUGGAAGGAAUUGGCCAUGUUCUGUUUGAUUAAUCAUCGUGAAUGUGAUGAAGUUAAUACUCUAUAGUUGAUCAUAUUA